rnacentral:lncRNA from 1 species
AGAUGAUGGAGCUGGACCUUUUGACAAAAAGCAAAGGAAGAAAAAAUCCAGUAUAGGGGAUGAAAUGACAAUAUUUGUACUGGAUAAUGGGAUAGUCAAAGUGAAGUGCAACCAUUGCAAGGAGCUUUUUGCCAAGAGUGCAACCGGAGCUAUUGAUAAGUGCUUAUUUUACCUAAUAGUUUGUGCAUAUUUCAUUUUAUUUAUAGCCAAUUUUGAGUUCCUAAGACAAUACAACUAUUAGCUCGAGCAAGCUAGAUUAGUAAUUUGAGUCGAGUUCGAUUAUAAUCGAGUUCGAUUAUCAGGUGCUCGAGCUCGACUCGGUUUGAUUAACAGCUCUAGCUAUAACAAGAGCAUUGGUUUUUUU